GGGGGCGACGUAGGCUUCGACGGGGGUUACAAAACCUCAGGUGCAUGUCGAGGGGCAGAUAACCUCGUAAAACCAGCUGCAAACUUAUAGUUGCCAACGACGACAACUACGCACUCGCUGCUUAAACCCCAGUAGGGUGCCGUCUGACUGGAGCCGUGCUUAUGCGUCCAGGGUCUUCGGACCAAUCAGGCGUCAUAUCUCAUAGGAUCGCGAUGAAGCUUGUUCGGGGUGGAUUCGUUAAAACUUACCGAAAUCGCUAUCUGCACGCCCUGUCCGUCGGGUGGCAGCCAGCUAAAAAUAAUAGACCGGACUAAACAUGUAGAACCUCAGGCAGAGGACUCGCGGACGGCGGUUCGAAUCCGCCCGCCUCCACCA
rnacentral:tmRNA from 1 species